GGGGGCGUACCGGCUUCGACGUGAGCGGUUAGCGUCCAAUGAGACGAGCCGAGUUUGCUGGAGACUCGUAAAACGCCGGCACCACAAUACAUGCCGACAAAGAGUUGGUGGCUGCCUAACUAACAGGUAGCCGAUCGGUCCAGGCAGCCCACGGCUUGGUAAACCGGUCUCAUUUAGUGGGCUUACCUUACGGGCUCUGGCCCGGGACUCGUAAGGGACAUUUAAUGGGCUAGCCCCUCGACGGUGCCCCGGUCCGUCGAGGUAGGCGAAACGAAACUGGGAGCGACGCUCGUAGAAUCUCUUGGGCAGCACGUUCGCGGACGCGGGUUCGAAUCCCGCCGCCUCCACUA
rnacentral:tmRNA from 1 species